rnacentral:rRNA from 1 species
GACGAACGCUGGCGGCGUGCUUAACACAUGCAAGUCGAACGGAAAGGCCCUGCUUUUGUGGGGUGCCCGAGUGGCGAACGGGUGAGUGACACGUGAGUAACCUGCCCUUGACUUUGGGAUAACUUCAGGAAACUGGGGCUAAUACCGGAUAGGAGCUCCUGCUGCAUGGUGGGGGUUGGAAAGUUUCGGCGGUUGGGGAUGGACUCGCGGCUUAUCAGCUUGUUGGUGGGGUAGUGGCUUACCAAGGCUUUGACGGGUAGCCGGCCUGAGAGGGUGACCGGCCACAUUGGGACUGAGAUACGGCCCAGACUCCUACGGGAGGCAGCAGUGGGGAAUAUUGCACAAUGGGCGGAAGCCUGAUGCAGCAACGCCGCGUGCGGGAUGACGGCCUUCGGGUUGUAAACCGCUUUCGCCUGUGACGAAGCGUGAGUGACGGUAAUGGGUAAAGAAGCACCGGCUAACUACGUG